rnacentral:rRNA from 1 species
UACAGAGGGUGCAAGCGUUAAUCGGAAUUACUGGGCGUAAAGCGCACGUAGGUGGCUUGAUAAGUUGGGUGUGAAAUCCCCGGGCUUAACCUGGGAAUUGCAUUCAAGACUGUCUUGCUAGAGUGUGGAAGAGGGAAGCGGAAUUCCAGGUGUAGCGGUGAAAUGCGUAGAUAUCUGGAGGAACAUCAGUGGCGAAGGCGGCUUCCUGGCCCAACACUGACACUGAGGUGCGAAAGCGUGGGGAGCAAACAGG